UACGAGUACCCCAAGCGUUAUCCGGAAUUAUUGGGCGUAAAGGGCGCGUAGGCGGCUUGGCAAGUGGAAGGUGAAAUCCCUCGGCUUAACCGAGGAACUGCCCUCCAAACUGCUUCGCUUGAGACCGGGAGAGGUGAGUGGAAUUCCCAGUGUAGCGGUGAAAUGCGUAGAUAUUGGGAGGAACACCAGUGGCGAAGGCGGCUCACUGGACCGGUACUGACGCUGAUGCGCGAAAGCGUGGGGAGCAAACGGG
rnacentral:rRNA from 1 species